rnacentral:misc_RNA from 1 species
GUUGUUUUACAAAAAGCUUCAGAGCGGAAGUUACAUCAAGCCUUUUCCGUUUCCACCAUCUUGAAAAUACAAAAAUGGGACCCCGAAGAGGACAAGUGAAAAAAGAAGAGGCCGUUUCUUUGGGACCUCAAGUUAUGGAAGGUGAAAACGUCUUUGGCGUUGCUCACAUUUUCGCUAGUUUCAAUGACACUUUUGUUCACGUCACGGAUUUGUCUGGCAAGUAAGUUCAUACUUAGAUGCUGCAAAAAACACUAUAAACGAGAAAUAUAUAUUUGGUAUCGUCAAUUUUUUCUUAGGGAAACAUUGGUUAGAAUAACCGGCGGUAUGAAAGUUAAAGCUGAUAGGGACGAAGCUUCGCCCUAUGCUGCUAUGCUGGCUGCUCAGGAUGUGGCUGAAAGAUGCAAACAGCUAGGAAUUACGGCUCUCCACAUCAAACUACGCGCUACUGGAGGUAACAAAACUAAAACUCCAGGACCCGGUGCACAAUCGGCUUUGAGAGCGCUUGCUAGAAGUGGUAUGAAAAUUGGUCGUAUCGAGGAUGUUACUCCGAUUCCAUCAGAUUGCACUAGAAGAAAGGGUGGUCGUCGUGGCAGAAGAUUAUAAGAACAUGUCAAUAAAAGUUGAAAAAAACUUAUUUUGUUCGGCAUCACGUUUUUCUUUGGAGAUACUAUGGCUGGAAUAAAAGCAGUGCAAAAUUGAUAUGAAAAGAUAUUUUGUAAAUUAUUUUUACUUAGUUAUAAACUAGCUAUUACUCACUAAUUAACAUAAGAUAUAUAGACUUAAGAGUAUUGUCAUUGGAUCUGAGUCAUUUUUUACAAGUCCUUAUAGUGAAUAACAUUUUAGGUACCAGGAGUCUGAUAACAAUGAAACAAAAUUUUAAGUUUAUAUCUAUAGAACAUUACACAAACUGUUUGUAACAAUUUUCUACUAGGUGACUGAGAUAAUAUUCUUGAAUUGAAUUAAUGUUCAUGGUUGAUGAAGGUAAUUGAAACCAUCAGAUCAACCUCAUACUACUGAUAUUUUCCUUAAAAUUUUCUUAUUGGAGGUUUUACCUUUUAAAAUGUGUAACAAAAUAUUAGUCCAGCAUGCAUCUUUCAGUAAUAUCGUAACUGUGCUCGUUAGCUGUAAAUAAUUUAUGAUUCUAAAGACCUACCCGAGAAGUGAAAUCGUUUUACACGGUUCACUUUUGUAUGUAAUAUGAUACGAUUGUUGUAUACUGAAAAUUAUGAUUAGAUGUAAAUUAUAAAGUUAAAAUGUUAUUCCACUGGCAUUAACAGUACUUUUUAACUUUAAUUUUAAGAACAAGUUUCAACUAAAUUUCGUUGGUAUACUAAGUUCACCCCUUUUUUACUCAUCCAGAUAAAAUAGCAUUGUUUUAAAUAUGAUGUAUAUUACAGUAUAAACUUAUACCUUUUUAAGAUUUUUAAAACCUUCCUGAUAGCAGAUAAAGUCUAUUUCUUAUUCCUAUAAAAAACACUUCAGUUACCGAUGUGCUUGGACCAACUAUACAGCUGAAAAAAUAACUGGCAGGAAUAAUUUGCUGUAAUAAAUUUCUUUUUUAAUUACAAAAUACCCUUCUCAAGACGAUAAAAGUUAUACGAUAAUAUUGCCGGAUAUAAGGAGUAAUAAAAUAAAUUGCUUUGUACUGAAAGCAGUGUAAAAAACUUUACAUAAAUAUAUUAAUUUAAUGCUGAAGUUAACCAAUCAGCAUCAACCUUUUGAUUAUAAAGGGAAGAAAACAGAUAGCUAGGAACAUUUCAAGAGUCGAAUUAUUAAGUUACGAAUCUACAUAAGAGAAAAUGAAAUUUACUUCUCUUAUAGUUUUUUAUCUGCUCUUCGUGAUAACGGAUCAAUUUUCAGUGCGAAAGCUAGAAUCUGAAGGUAAUGGGCAUAUGUUUCAGAAAAUGUGUAACUUUUAAGAGAGUAUAAAUAAGAAAUCAGUGAUUGACAUAUAUUAAGGAAAAAAUUUUGGAAGUGAAUGAUCGUCUGCCUGAAGUAGUCAUAAAAUAAGAGAAAACACUUAAACAUAUUUAUGGUAUUUUAAGGUUAUAGCAAACAAAAGUUUAGUGCAAAAUGAAGUUAUAUUACUUUUUAUCUUAUCGAUCACAAACAAGUAAAAAGAAAAGUUAUUUAUAAUUUGAUACGUAUUUCAGCUCAACUUGCCGAUUAGUAUUUCUAUCAUUCUUUACUCUCAUCAAAUAAAUUAAAAAAUUAUUUUUUAGAAAUAUUAUGCUCCUCACAUCAUAGGUGUCAUUUCUAAAUGAAGAUUUGUUUACAAGAUCUUAUGGUUUGUUUCUCUCAACAGACAGUCCUUUAAUCAGUAUAAUAAAAAGGUCUAUCCGAGAAAACGAUGAUAGAAUGCUGAAUAAAAGAUUUGCUGAAGUUGUCCCAAGUGAGAUAGGAAGAUAUUAUCAAGGCAUCAUAUUUGGGUAUAAAAGAUCGUAUGGCCACACUCCGGAUAUGUCUAUGUGUUUAUUUCUCGGUUUAGAUGAAUGUAAGGACAAGGAUAACAAUGCGGGAUGAAGAUCGUUAAGUUUAGCAUUCGAUAAGCUUGUCUCUAUUUUCCUUUCCUGAUUUGACUUAAUUACUUAUGAAGCAAGAAAUUGCUUAACAAAAAUUUGUAUUAAUAUAUUCCCCUUUGUGUUCUUAAUUUAAUUUUCAUUAUGGUAUGAAAAAUCGUAAUCGAAAGAAACUGAUGAAGAAUCAAAGAUUAUAUAGUAUAACGUAUGUUAUGCACCAACAAAGUUAUUAGCUUUGGACAACCAAAGUAUAUACACCUAACAAUACUAAAUUAAAAAUUCUUUAAAAAGAAAAUGAUUAUGAUUUUGAUCGCUAUAUAUAUUAAAUCUAAAAAUAAAUGAAUCAAUGCGAUAGCCAUUGAUUAUUUCAUACUGUCA